rnacentral:rRNA from 1 species
GUCUGCACGAGUAAUUCGAUGUGCAGUCUGGCCUGCCCCCUGAAAUUUUUAAAGGGCCGCGGUAUUUGGACCGUGCUAAGGUAGCAUAAUAAAUAGUCUUUUAAUUGAAGUCUAGUAUGAAUGGUCGGACAUGAAGUAAGCUGUUUCGGCUUUGAUAUUUGAAUUUUACCUUUAAGUGAAAAGGCUUAAAUUAAAUGGUGGGACGAUAAGACCCUAUAAAGCUUUACAUUUUACUUUCCAGUUGUGGGAUUUAAGGUCUCUUAUUCUUAUUGAGUAUAAUGUUUCGUUGGGGCGACGGGAAUAUAAUAUAAGUAACUGUUUUUGGUUGAAAAAUAUAGUUCUAUAGUUUAAUUGAUCCUUUUUAAAGAUUAUAAGAUUUAAGUUACUUUAGGGAUAACAGCGUAAUUUAUCUUGAGAGUUCACAUCGACAGAUAUAGUUGCGACCUCGAUGUUGAAUUAAAAUAUCCUCCAGGUGUAGCAGUUUUGGUGGUGGGUCUGUUCGACCUUUAAAAUUUU